UACGGGGGGGGCAAGCGUUAAUCGGAAUUACUGGGCGUAAAGCGUGCGCAGGCGGUUUGCUAAGACAGGUGUGAAAUCCCCGGGCUUAACCUGGGAACUGCGCUUGUAACUGGCAAGCUAGAGUGUGGCAGAGGGGGGUGGAAUUCCAGGUGUAGCAGUGAAAUGCGUAGAGAUCUGGAGGAACACCGAUGGCGAAGGCAGCCCCCUGGGCUAACACUGACGCUCAUGCACGAAAGCGUGGGGACAAACAGG
rnacentral:rRNA from 1 species